GAAGGUUGCCUAUUUCCACUUCAUUUAGUUGUUUUUCUGGGGUUUUAUCUUGUUCAUUCACCUGGUACAUAGUCCCCUGCCUUUUCAUUUUGUCUAUAUUUCUGUUAAUGUGCUUUUCCUUCCAUAGGAUGCAGGAUUCUGGUUCUUCUUGUUUCUGCUGGCUGCCCUCUGGUGUGAGCCACAGCCACCCCCUGCCUCUGCAGGAGCCCCUCCAACACUAGCAGAAUGGUGGCUGACAAAUGCUGGCAUUCCUCUGGCUACUCCAUGGACACUGGAAAGAAG